CUUGAGGCGUGGCUUCCGGAGCUAACGCGUUAAGUAGACCGCCUGGGGAGUACGGCCGCAAGGUUAAAACUCAAAUGAAUUGACGGGGGCCCGCACAAGCGGUGGAGCAUGUGGUUUAAUUCGAUGCAACGCGAAGAACCUUACCUGGUCUUGACAUCCACAGAACUUUCCAGAGAUGGAUUGGUGCCUUCGGGAACUGUGAGACAGGUGCUGCAUGGCUGUCGUCAGCUCGUGUUGUGAAAUGUUGGGUUAAGUCCCGCAACGAGCGCAACCCUUAUCCUUUGUUGCCAGCGAUUAGGUCGGGAACUCAAAGGAGACUGCCAGUGAUAAACUGGAGGAAGGUGGGGAUGACGUCAAGUCAUCAUGGCCCUUACGACCAGGGCUACACACGUGCUACAAUGGCGCAUACAAAGAGAAGCGACCUCGCGAGAGCAAGCGGACCUCAUAAAGUGCGUCGUAGUCCGGAUUGGAGUCUGCAACUCGACUCCAUGAAGUCGGAAUCGCUAGUAAUCGUGGAUCAGAAUGCCACGGUGAAUACGUUCCCGGGCCUUGUACACACCGCCCGUCACACCAUGGGAGUGGGUUGCAAAAGAAGUAGGUAGCUUAACCUUCGGGAGGGCGCUUACCACUUUGUGAUUCAUGACUGGGGUGAAGUCGUAACAAGGUAACCGUAGGGGAACCUGCGGUUGGAUCACCUCCUUACCUUAAAGAA
rnacentral:rRNA from 1 species